UUAUAAAGUACGCAGCACUUUGUUUGCGAAUAAAUUAUGGUCACUUAUUGUUUUGUUCAUUCGUAAUGACAUUAUCUCAUUUUAUUAGCUUCAUUGAUAUUCGUUCGUAUAGCCGAGUAUAUUUGCGAUGAGGCAACACGAAACUAUACUCACUUUACAGACAUGAAGGUUUAAAUACUAAAUGCGUCAUAGAAUGAACGAAUACUUUCAUCUACUGUAGCUUACUCUUACUGUUAGUCUUACUAUACCAUUUGGUAAGUGCUGCCUUGCUUGAACAUCGAUUUUUUUCGAGCUGAUUUCAACUUCUAAAGUCGUUAAAAAUCCUAUUAAUCCCGAAAUGGUUGAAUUUCAAUGUUUACUUGAUACGCCCCCAUUUUCCUAAACGGAAAUUCAGUAGCUGUAAUCAAUCUGAUUUGGGUGAUUUUACUACCAAAGAGAAAAAACCGGUGGAGAAAAAAAGACAAAAAAAACUCCGGAUCAAUUCGACCGCAUUUUUCAUUGUGGCAUUUGACUGUCUAUAUUACAGUAAAUCUGCCAGAUUUUUCCAUUGAAGCCGUCUGCAACUGAAGCAUAAUAUUCCAUCACCCGGCUGCAAAAUGAGGACUGCUUCCAGACUGUGCCAGACAUUACUAAGACGGAACAGCACGCUAGGUUACAAACAGGCUAAUUCCUUGCAAUUAAAACGAGCAUAUCACGAGGGCAACUUGAAGACUAAUAUCAAUGGCGGCAUAGCCUCUCAACCCAACCAGAAUCUGGGCGCCCUCGUUCCAGAGGCAGUCAUUUUCCCCGGAAUGAUUCUGCUGGGCGGAUGGGUUGGCAAAGAGAUCGCCUCAUUUUUAGAAGAGUACGACUAUUUUGUAUUCACAGAUGAUGAUGAUGAUUAAAUUUUGCAAUUCUUCUUCUAACAAUUGGGCAGUUAGAUUCUAUUUUCUAACGUUUCUAUCUCUAUUUUCAUAUUUCGAUGUUCAUAUCAUUUCAAAGUUAAUAUUUUAAAACUAUUAAAUGAAAAAUAUGCGUUAAUGAAAAA